rnacentral:rRNA from 1 species
GACGAACGCUGGCGGCGUGCUUAACACAUGCAAGUCGAACGGAAAGGCCCUGCUUUUGUGGGGUGCUCGAGUGGCGAACGGGUGAGUAACACGUGAGUAACCUGCCCUUGACUUUGGGAUAACUUCAGGAAACUGGGGCUAAUACCGGAUAUGAGCUCCUGCUGCAUGGUGGGGGUUGGAAAGUUUCGGUGGUUGGGGAUGGACUCGCGGCUUAUCAGCUUGUUGGUGGGGUAGUGGCUUACCAAGGCUUUGACGGGUAGCCGGCCUGAGAGGGUGACCGGCCACAUUGGGACUGAGAUACGGCCCAGACUCCUACGGGAGGCAGCAGUGGGGAAUAUUGCACAAUGGGCGGAAGCCUGAUGCAGCAACGCCGCGUGCGGGAUGACGGCCUUCGGGUUGUAAACCGCUUUCGCCUGUGACGAAGCGUGAGUGACGGUAAUGGGUAAAGAAGCACCGGCUAACUACGUG